rnacentral:rRNA from 1 species
CGUUGUAAACUGCUUUUAUAUAGGAAGAAACAGACCUUGCGAGGUAAAUUGACGGUACUAUAUGAAUAAGCACCGGCUAACUCCGUGCCAGCAGCCGCGGUAAUACGGAGGGUGCAAGCGUUGUCCGGAUUUAUUGGGUUUAAAGGGUGCGUAGGCGGUUUAUUAAGUCAGUGGUGAAAGACGGUCGCUCAACGAUUGCAGUGCCAUUGAUACUGGUAGACUUGAGUAUGAUUGAGGUAGCUGGAAUGGAUAGUGUAGCGGUGAAAUGCAUAGAUAUUAUCCAGAACACCAAUUGCGUAGGCAAGUUACUAAGUCAUAACUGACGCUGAUGCACGAAAGUGUGGGUAUCAAACAAGAUUAGAUACCCCUGGUAG